GAUGCGAUCUCUCGGUUUGCAUUUGCAGCCAUUUGAUUACACAUCUCAUACUGAUGAUGUAGGCAUCGAGUGGCGUAAGUGGUCAAAAUCAUUCGAGACGAUGGUACGAGCCAGUCGAAUCAACGACGAAGAAUGGAAGAAAGAUUUGCUGCUACAUUUUGCGGGCCCAAACGUUCAGCAACUGUUCGAUACGCUGUCAGAUUUGCCAGGUAGUGAAAUGCGUGGCCCACUGAUGAAUGUGGAUAGUUACACUCCGAACCUGUCGUGCUACGAGGAAGCUGUAAUCAAAUUGAAUAUGUUCUUUCUGCCGAAAGAAAACACUACAUACGAACGACAUCUGCUGCGUCAAAUAAAGCAAAGAAGUGAUGAGAAUAUCGAUUCUUUCACAGUCCGACUGCGCGUUCAAGCUGAACGAUGUGGAUUCGGGGAUAAGGUAGAAGAAAACAUCAAAGAUCAAAUCAUCGAAUGUUGUCAGUCAGCAGCUCUACGUCGGGAUUUACUUAAACGAGGCGAUGCUGACCUGCGAGAAGUCUUAAGAGUGGCGAAAAUUUUUGAGACAGUCGCAGUACAGGAAAAAUCUUUUACCGGAGAAGAAGUAUUGAAACCAUCUGGCAGCGAGGUAAACAAAAUUGAGAUGAAACCCUCAUAAUAAAAGACAUCGGUUCAUUGAUUCGGCGCGUGUGGAAUGCCACCGCUGUGGAUAUUUUGGUCAUAUGGCCAGAGAUGAAAAAUGCCCAGCGAAAGGGAAAUUAUGCAACAAAUGUGGUGGACGUGACCACUUUGCGAAAAAGUGUCGUAAGCGUAAGCAAUCGAUGGUACCCACUGUUGAUCGGGAUAUUGCCCCAAAGACAGCUGACAAUGUAAAUGAUGGAAUCAUGAAUCAUGGAUCAAACGCAAUCAACCAAAUCGUUGACACAGAGACGGAAUAUAUAUUUAACCUGACCACCUCCGAUAAUGACGGUGAAGUUAGUGAUCCCCGAUAAUCGUUCGAUUAAUCGAUUAAUCGAAUACUUCCUACAGAAAUCGAUUAUUAAUCGAACGAAUACUGCGCAACCAAUAAUCGAAGCGAACGAAUAAUUUGCGUCGAUUAAUCGAUCCAAACCCAGAAGAAAAAAAAUACGACCGCAGCUGUUUUAUUUUUUUUAUAACUUAUUUUGAUUAUAUUGGAUUUACCAUGUAGUGCCUCACCCCACUUCGUAAACACCUUGAUCUGCAUGUCUUGUCAGUGGGCUUUUUUUUAUCCCAUUCGUUUAUUUCAGGCUCAUUAGCAUUUCAGCUGUAACAGAGCCGAAUUUUAAUAGUGCACAGUUGCCAUUUUUUUGGCGUUAUAGUAUUCCUUCUAUACCAUUGCACAUGGUACAUUACAUUUCACAGUAGCCAUUUAGGCGUAAGAGUAUUCGUUCUGUUCUUCCAUUGUCCAGUUAUACCGGACAGCGAAGACAGUUGAUAUGAUCAUUGUUGAGUUAUUAAUAGAAUAGCAGCCCGAUGUUUCUUGCAGAGCAGAGCAGUUGUAUGGAUGAAUCGAUCUUAUUUCGACCGUGGAUCGAUCUCCAUCGCUGAUGAUUGUUGCGUGGACGUAGUUAUUCUGUAACAACACAAAGAUGGUCAAUGAGGGCCCUGAGUUUUGAACUCACGAUCGAUCGCUUACUAAGCGAACGCGCAACCAAUGUGGCUACGGAGACCCCCCCCUGUCAGUGGGCUUUGUCAUUAGUCAUUUUGUUUCAACAGUGCUAGGGUUUAGACUGUAAUCGCGACUUAUGGCGCAAAAAGUGAAUUGGAAGCGAAAGUGAAAGAAAUAUUUUUGCGGAGAAAAUUUAACAAAUACUGCAGGUUCAGAUAUCCAGGGAGAUUGAAAUCCUGUUCCAGAGAAAAAAAGACAGCGUUGCCUUUUCUUCACGGCCAUUUUGAGCGCGUUUUUACAGGUAAUUUAGAAUAGGUUAUAAAAAAGUUCUCUGACGAUAAUUUUGCUGGUAAAAGUGUUUCGACCAUUCGGAACCACGGUCUAAGGUCACUUCGACAAAGGCGAUGGAGUUGAAGCAUCAAUGCCUUCCCGGGGGAGUACCGUUAGUCGCUGAUUGAAUAUCGAUUGGAACCGAAGAAGCCUAAUUGGGAAAAAUUCGCGAUGUCAGAAAUACCUUCGGCAAAAAAUCAAGAAAAAUCCAAAAUCAGUCCGGCUUGGGAGUUCUUUAAAAAAAUUGACGGGAACAAUGUACAAUGUAAAUUAUGUUUGCAUAUUCUAAGUUUUUGCCGCAACACGAGCAACAUGCUCAAUCAUUUGACAUUCAAGCAUAAAAAUUUGGCCAUCUAAAUUCAAGGACGAAAAAGAACAGCAUCACAAGAAUCUUGAAUUGAUACUACUCCCAAAAUGGGUCCACGGCAACAAACUAUUACAUCGGCUUUCGAUCGUCCUUUUUCAUACGGAGGUAAUCCCACCUGAUUCAAUUUUAUAUACAUGAUGGCGGCCACGAAAAUAAAUUUUUGUUAACUCUUCUUUUUCAUCAUAACAUUGAAUGCCCAAGAAUUAUAUAAAUGAACAAGUUCACUUCAAGUUGAACUAUACCACCUUGAUUUAUUUCACCAAUAAGCAAAAUCAUGCAGAGAAGGGUUAGCAAAUGAUGAAAUUCAUCGUGCCUAGAAUUAAUUUUUGUAUAGCAUUUAGAGUUGUUCCUUAUAUUAAAAUAAUAUUAAUUUUCGUUCUUCCAAUAGCAUGUUUUGAUUUUUUUUGUAAAAAUAUGGACAAGCGGUUUUCAAUUUGAGAUUUAAAAUGUUGAAUGAGAGAGAAUUUAAAGUUAUCUAAAAAUAAUCAUAGUUCAAAUUGGUCACUUGGUAAUGAAAACUAAAAUUUUUCGACUGCCGCCAUCAUAAACAGCCUGAUUCUGCGUGACAUGUGAGGUGAGAUGACAAUUAUCACUUAUGUCACGCGAUUCCGCCAGGCGUAUGCCGUGAGAAAUCUCACUUGAGUGAACUCUCACCAUAUUCCCGCUCUCAAAUAUACGUGACGAUUGUCACAUGAACUGGGAUUUCUAGGUGACAAUCGUCGACAUGUGUUGAGGUGUCGACAGCGCAAAAAAACAAAUGAAAAAUGGAAGAGGAAUAAUAAGUGUCUUUCUGGGUCGUAGAAAAUCGAUAGUAAUGGUAUUGUAUGUAUCAAUAAAUUCAAUUUAUCUUCAAUUUUCACAGUGCGAGUGACGAAUUGCAAGUAGUUUGAAUUUUUUGUGAAAACGGUAGUGAAUCUGUUAACCCUCAAUCGAACGAAUAAGCA